rnacentral:rRNA from 1 species
GUGGGGAAUAUUGGACAAUGGGCGCAAGCCUGAUCCACCCAUGCCGCGUGAGUGAUGAAGGCCUUAGGGUUGUAAAGCUCUUUUGUCCGGGAAGAUAAUGACUGUCCCGGAAGAAUAAGCCCCGGCUAACUUCGUGCCAGCAGCCGCGGUAAUACGAAGGGGGCUAGCGUUGUUCGGAAUCACUGGGCGUAAAGCGCACGUAGGCGGACCUUCAAGUCAGGGGUGAAAGCCUGGAGCUCAACUCCAGAACUGCCUUUGAUACUGAUGGUCUCGAGUGCGGAAAAGGGUGGUGGAACUGCGAGUGUAAAGGUGAAAUUCGGAGAAAUUCGCAAGAACAACAGUGGCGAAAGCCGCCAACUGGUCCGAUACUGACGCUGAGGUGCGAAAGCGUGGGGAGCAAACAGGAUUAGAAACCCUAGUAGUCC